UACGAGGGGGGCAAAUGUUGUUCGGAAUCACUGGGCGUAAAGCGCACGUAGGCGGAUAUGUCAGUCAGGGGUGAAAUCCCGGGGCUCAACCUCGGAACUGCCCUUGAUACAGCAUAUCUUGAGUCCGAUAGAGGUGGGUGGAAUUCCUAGUGUAGAGGUGAAAUUCGUAGAUAUUAGGAAGAACACCGGUGGCGAAGGCGGCCCACUGGAUCGGUACUGACGCUGAGGUGCGAAAGCGUGGGGAGCAAACAGG
rnacentral:rRNA from 1 species